AAGGAUUAACUGUAGCUGUAUGACAGAACCAAGCCAACCCUUGUCCACACCCUCCCCCUAAAUUCUAAAACACAGAUCGGUCUAUCUCCCACAAUAUAGCAAAGUUUAGGAAACUUAACCCCCCACAUUUUGAAGGUGGCCCUGAUCCUUUAGUAGCUGAAGCCUGGAUCCUAUAAAUAGAGAAGCUCUUCUCUGUACUAGACCU
rnacentral:lncRNA from 1 species